GUGCUUGCACUAAAUGAAACUAGAUACAAGCGAGCGGCGGACGGGUGAGUAACACGUGGGUAACCUGCCCAAGAGACUGGGAUAACACCUGGAAACAGAUGCUAAUACCGGAUAACAACACUAGACGCAUGUCUAGAGUUUGAAAGAUGGUUCUGCUAUCACUCUUGGAUGGACCUGCGGUGCAUAGCUAGUUGGUAAGGUAACGGCUUACCAAGGCAAUGAUGCAUAGCCGAGUUGAGAGACUGAUCGGCCACAUUGGGACUGAGACACGGCCCAAACUCCUACGGGAGGCAGCAGUAGGGAAUCUUCCACAAUGGACGAAAGUCUGAUGGAGCAACGCCGCGUGAGUGAAGAAGGGUUUCGGCUCGUAAAGCUCUGUUGGUAGUGAAGAAAGAUAGAGGUAGUAACUGGCCUUUAUUUGACGGUAAUUACUUAGAAAGUCACGGCUAACUACGUGCCAGCAGCCGCGGUAAUACGUAGGUGGCAAGCGUUGUCCGGAUUUAUUGGGCGUAAAGCGAGUGCAGGCGGUUCAAUAAGUCUGAUGUGAAAGCCUUCGGCUCAACCGGAGAAUUGCAUCAGAAACUGUUGAACUUGAGUGCAGAAGAGGAGAGUGGAACUCCAUGUGUAGCGGUGGAAUGCGUAGAUAUAUGGAAGAACACCAGUGGCGAAGGGCGGCUCUCUGGUCUGCAACUGACGCUU
rnacentral:rRNA from 1 species